rnacentral:rRNA from 1 species
UACGGAGGGUGCAAGCGUUAAUCGGAAUUACUGGGCGUAAAGCGUGCGUAGGCGGUUCGUUAAGUCUGUUGUGAAAGCCCCGGGCUCAACCUGGGAAUGGCAAUGGAUACUGGCGAGCUAGAGUGUGUCAGAGGAUGGUGGAAUUCCCGGUGUAGUGGUGAAAUGCGUAGAGAUCGGGAGGAACACCUGUGGCGAAGGCGGCCCCCUGGGCCGGCCCUGACACUGAGACGCGAAGGCGUGGGGAGCGAACGGG